rnacentral:rRNA from 1 species
AUGGGCAUUCAUUGGCCGAGUCUCCGCUACUCCGCUGAUGAGUACGCUUGUCCAGCCUCCACGGUGCCUCUGUCGCCUCUUCCGACCUCCGCUCGUAUGGCUCUUCGUGACCCGCUUUGGUACGCAGCGAUGAAGGAGGAAUUUGAGGCCCUGCAGCGCAAUGCGACUUGGCAGCUUGUCCCACGUCCCCGGCACGUCAACAUCAUUACCGGGAAGUGGGUGUUCAAGCACAAGUUUCAUCCCGAUGGCACACUCGACCGCUAUAAAGCACGUUGGGUGGUCCUAGGCUUCCGACAGCGUGCUGGUGUUGACUUCAUGGAUACAUUCGCCCUGGUUGUCAAACCUGGGACGAUUCACACUGUCCUUCAGCUUGCGGUAUCUUGUGCGUGGCCGGUGCACCAAAUGGACGUCUCCAACGCCUUCCUCCAUGGUCACCUCGAGGAGCACGUGUAUUGCCAGCAGCCUACGGGGUUCGUCGACGACACUCACCCAGAGCAUGUUUGCCUGCUUUCCCGCUCCUCGUACGGGCUCAAGCAGGCUCCCCGCGCCUGGUACCAGCGCAUCGCAGCGUUUCUUCAUCAGCUUGGCUUCCACUCCACACGCUCCGAUGCUUCGUUGUUCAUUUACCGCCAUGGUGAUGCUACCGCCUACCUGCUGCUUUAUGUCGACGAUAUCAUCAUGACAACUUGCUCUAGUGCUCUUCUUCGACAGCUUACCGACCGUCUUCGCGCCGAGUUUGCCAUUAAGGACUUAGGUCCUCUGCACUACUUCCUCGGGAUCGAGGUUGUUCGACAUGCGGAUGGCUUCUUUAUUCAUUAG